UACGUAGGUGGCAAGCGUUAUCCGGAAUUAUUGGGCGUAAAGCGCGCGCAGGCGGUUCCUUAAGUCUGAUGUGAAAGCCCCCGGCUCAACCGGGGAGGGUCAUUGGAAACUGUGAGACUUGAGUACAGAAGAGGAGAGUGGAAUUCCACGUGUAGCGGUGAAAUGCGUAGAUAUGUGGAGGAACACCAGUGGCGAAGGCGACUUUCUGGUCUGUAACUGACGCUGAGGCGCGAAAGCGUGGGGAGCAAACAGG
rnacentral:misc_RNA from 1 species